UACGUAGGGGGCAAGCGUUGUCCGGAUUUAUUGGGCGUAAAGAGCGUGUAGGCGGCUUUGCAAGUCCGUUGUGAAAACUCGAGGCUCAACCUCGAGACGCCGGUGGAAACUGCAAAGCUAGAGUCCGGAAGAGGAGAGUGGAAUUCCUGGUGUAGCGGUGAAAUGCGCAGAUAUCAGGAAGAACACCCGUGGCGAAGGCGGCUCACUGGUCCGGUACUGACGCUGAGGUGCGAAAGCGUGGGGAGCAAACAGG
rnacentral:rRNA from 1 species